UACCGUAGCCAAAGCUAAUGGUUCUGCUGUUUUUGAGAUGGGCAACACCAAAGUCAUUGCAGCAGUGUAUGGUCCUAGAGAGGUGCAAAAUAGGAGCCAACAACUUAAUGACCAGGCACUGGUGCGCUGUGAAUUCAGUAUGGCGAAUUUUAGUACCGGAGAUCGAAUGAGGAAACCAAAGGGUGACA